rnacentral:rRNA from 1 species
GACGAACGCUGGCGGCGUGCUUAACACAUGCAAGUCGAACGGUAAGGCCCUUCGGGGUACACGAGUGGCGAACGGGUGAGUAACACGUGGGUGAUCUGCCCUGCACUUGGGGAUAAGCCUGGGAAACUGGGUCUAAUACCGGAUAGGACCCUGGGAUGCAUGUCCUGGGGUGGAAAGCUUUUGCGGUGUGGGAUGGGCCCGCGGGCUAUCAGCUUGUUGGUGGGGUGAUGGCCUACCAAGGCGAAGACGGGUAGACGGCCUGAGAGGGUGACCGGCCACACUGGGACUGAGAUACGGCCCAGACUACUACGGGAGGCAGCAGUGGGGAAUAUUGCACAAUGGGCGCAAGCCUGAUGCAGCGACGCCGCGUGAGGGAUGACGGCCUUCGGGUUGUAAACCUCUUUCAGCACCGACGAAGCGCAAGUGACGGUAGGUGCAGAAGAAGGACCGGCCAACUACGUGCCAGCCGCCGCCGUAA